UUCAAAAGACCCCCCACUUAAUACAAAUUGUACAGAAUAUGAGCCUCUAUUCGCUACCGUUGAAAUAUGUGAAGUAAGAAUCAUAGGUUGCAGAGCUGGAGCUUACGGGGAAGGUUGCAAACCUUGUCCAUCAAUAUGUCCUAACGAAAGUUGUGAUGCAUUCAAUGGAUCAUGCAGAUAUCAAAAACCAAGUAAUCACAAUGGUUGUUCACAGACACCAAAGACUUUCAUAGUGAUCCUUCUCGCCGUUUCAGCAUUUCUUAUUGUCAUUA